AGAGGAGCCCCAGCAGUGCUGUCUGGGACGGCCAGUGCAAAUGCCGCAGCUUCACCCCAGCACUCCACUCGCCUCCCUCCUGCCCCGCGCGUGGCCCCACUCCUGGCUGGGGACGACCUGCCUGCGCCCGCCUGGCUCCGGGAAACCCUGCUGGGAGCACCGCGCGGGCUCCUUGCAGCGCUGGCUCCCAACAGCUCAGCUCCAGCUCCAGCGGUGCCCCGACCUGCGCCCGGGGACAGAGGAGCCCCAGCAGGGCUGCCUGGGACGGCCAGUGCCAACGCCCCCACGUCGCCCCAGCGCCGGCUCUGGGACGCUGCCGCCUGCGCGCAGAGCCUGGGACAGCGUGUCCGGCAGCAGGGGCUGCGUCCCGGCCCCUCUCACCCCCGCGGGCACCUCGGAGGCGCUUCCUGGGGCUGCCGACACCGCGCGACGGCCUCGCGCCUCCUUUCUGCGCUCCGCAGCGAAGCCGGGAGCACCACGAGGUUUGUUUCCUCCCGGACAGGAGCCGCCCGGCUCCCUGCUCGCAGCAGGACGAUGCCUCCGCUCGCCUCCCUCCCGCCCUGCGCGGGGCCCCGCUCCUGGCUGGGGACGACCUGCCUGCGCCCGCCUGGCUCUGGGCCUCCUUGGGAGCCUGCUGGGAGCACAGCGGGGGCUCCUCGCAGCUCAGCUCCGGCUCCUUAGGGCUCGGCCUCAUGACAGCAGUGGUGGUGACUGACAAGGUCGUAAAUCAAUCACUGUCACAGCUUGCAUAUUAAUAUCAUGGUUUAAUAGUGCACAUUAUAUAUAAUAUUAUACAAGUAUAAUAAACUCAAUAUGUAUGCAAUAUUAUUUACAGUAUACAUACGUACUAUUCAUACUGAAUAAAUAUUCCAAGUCUUGUACAAAUGGGGAAUAAACAGGGGAACUGGAA